CAGCAUUCCGUCAUGGUCUGUUCUUCAAUUCCUACCUCCAGAUUCCUGCCUUGAGUUCCUGCCUUGGCUUGCCUCCACGAUAGACUAUGUCCAAUCAACUUACUAUUACAGAGAUGAUCAGAGGCAGACACUUUCCUCGUACUAAGUACGUGUGCAUAAAGACAAGACUCUUUCCACUCUGCCUCCAAAGGGGAAAGUCCUUGGCUGGCAUUCCCUCAUCUUCUUGACCCUUCCCCAUUGUCUCUUGCAAGGGAAGUGGCCCCGAGUGAUCAGCACAGACCCUGGUGGGAAGACCAGUCUUUUGGGAGUGGCCAGAUUCCAGGCUGUGAUCCUGUGCUGCCUAACUGAAGAAUAGAAGUCAAGGAGCAGCAUCCAUUCACUGGACUUUGCUUCCUGACUGUGGACACAAUGUGACCAGCUCCUUCCACAAUGCUUCCCCACCAUGAUGGAGGGUA